rnacentral:rRNA from 1 species
GCAAGAUUAAAACUCAAAGGAAUAGACGGGGACCCGCACAAGUGGUGGAGCAUGUGGUUUAAUUCGAAGAUACGCGAAGAACCUUACCUAGCCUUGACAUAUUUUAGAAUUCUUUAGAGAUAGAGAAGUGCCUUCGGGAGCUAAUUUACAGGUGCUGCACGGCUGUCGUCAGCUCGUGUCGUGAGAUGUUGGGUUAAGUCCCGCAACGAGCGCAACCCUCGUCACUAGUUACUAACGAUUCGGUCGAGGACUCUAGUGAGACUGCCUUCGUAAGGAGGAGGAAGGUGAGGACGACGUCAAGUCAUCAUGGCCCUUACGGCUAGGGCAACACACGUGCUACAAUGGUUGGGACAGUGAGACGCGAUACCGCGAGGUGGAGCAAAUCUAUAAACCUAAUCUCAGUUCGGAUUGUAGUCUGCAACUCGACUACAUGAAGCUGGAAUCACUAGUAAUCGUAGAUCAGCUAUGCUACGGUGAAUACGUUCCCGGGUCUUGUACUCACCGCCCGUCACACCAUGGGAGUUGAUUUCACCCGAAGCGGGGAAGCUAAACUGGCUACCCUCCACGGUGGAAUUAGCGACUGGGGUGAAGUCGUAACAAGGUA